rnacentral:rRNA from 1 species
UACGUAGGAGGCGAGCGUUGUCCGGAUUUACUGGGCGUAAAGCGCGCGCAGGCGGCAUGGCAAGUAAGGUGUGAAAUCUCCCUGCCUAACGGGGAGGGUGCAUUUUAGACUGCCAAGCUAGAGGACGGUAGAGGGGGGUAGAAUUGCUGGUGUAGCGGUGAAAUGCGUAGAUAUCGGGAGGAAUACCUAUGGCGAAAGCAGCCUUCUGGACCGUCACUGACUCUGAUCUGCGAAAGCUAGGGGAGCAAACAGG